rnacentral:lncRNA from 1 species
AGCAAAGAAAUGUAGUAAAAACUGGUCUGAACUCCACGUAGUUAAGCCCAGGCAUGCAAUUAUGUGAAAGAUUGUUUCAGGAGAAAACAUUUCUUGGCAAUGAGAAAUUUGGGUUGCUUCUGGUGCAAAAGCACAACAGCAUUCAAACCAUGUUUCCCAUAAAAAUGAAGUCGGCUAGUGUCAGAAGCCAGCAGACUUGGCCUUGGAAUCCUCUCUCUGGGCCUGUGUUUCCAGCUGGCGAUUGAUCGGAAACUGGAUGUCUUUGCUCUGAACCCAGGCUGCGCCAUUCGAGUGACCCCGCGUGUGCGCUCCAGCCUGUGCACGCUGCAGCCUUUGAGGGAUAAAGGUUCUGAGCUGAGCACGGCUGUCCAGUGUUGAGGUUGCCGAGACACGCUGUUGGGGCAUCUGCACAUGCACAGUUCACACAGAUGGCACAGGUGACGGUGUUCUCCGGAGGUGGUGGUGGUACCCCCACAGGACACAGGCGGAGACAGGCUGACAUGAUACCAGGCUUGCUGACUCUGGCAGGAAAUGAUCGUGUUCAUUCCUCUCUUGUUCUCGAAAGAAUGGAACAAAAAUGUCCUUCUCAUUGCUUCAUGGCAUCAUGAAGAGAAUAUUAGCUCUGAGCUAACAUCCAUGCCCAUCUUCCUCUACUUUAUAUGUGGGACACCUAUGACAGCAUGGCACUUGCCAAGCGGUGCCAUGUCCGCACCCAGGAUCCGAACCGGUGAACCCCAGGCUGCCAAAGUGAAGUGCGUGUGCUAACUUAACCCCUGUGCCACCAGCCAGCCCCUGAUUCUGAUUUUGGAAUGAGUGAUUCCCAGUAUUCUCCCUGGAAUUUUUUGCUCCUAAAUUAUAUUUAUUAAUAACUGUUUUAUCCAACAGUUUUAUCCAACCGCCUGUAUCUAGCUGUGCAGGCGAUGAGCUGGGUGACGGUUGCUGCCACGUUGAGGUGAUGGAGAGGCCCAGUGUGGUAGACGAUUUGCAGCUUUGGAAAUAUGUUGGGCACCACGAUUUCAUAAUUUUAGUGCUGAAGUUAUUUUUGUCUGUAUUUCUUCAAAUCAAACUCUCAUUCAGCUCGCAAACGCCCC